rnacentral:rRNA from 1 species
CCUACGGGUGGCAGCAGUGGGGGAUAUUGGACAAUGGGGGGAACCCUGAUCCAGCGACGCCGCGUGAGUGAAGAAGUAUCUCGGUACGUAAAGCUCUAUCAGCAGGGAAGAAGAAAUGACGGUACCUGAGUAAGAAGCCCCGGCUAACUACGUGCCAGCAGCCGCGGUAAUACGUAGGGGGCACGCGUUAUCCGGAUUUACUGGGUGUAAAGGGAGCGUAGACGGUGAUGUAAGUCUGGAGUGAAAGGCGGGGGCCCAACCCCCGGACUGCUCUGGAAACUAUGUGACUGGAGUGCAGGAGAGGUGAGCGGAAUUCCUAGUGUAGCGGUGAAAUGCGUAGAUAUUAGGAGGAACACCAGUGGCGAAGGCGGCCUGCUGGACAGAAACUGACGUUGAGGCUCGAAAGCGUGGGGAGCAAACAGGAUUAGAUACCCCAGUAGUC